ensembl:lncRNA
GUCACAGGCAGAAUGCUUAGUAUUAGAAACGAAACAUUCAAAGUUUUAAAUGUUCACAAAGCCCAGAUCCCAUAACUUAGAAAUAUGAAUAAGCUUUCUAGUCUCUCUGAUUCUUUAGUGACUUUGUUUGCCCUAAUCCUUAAAAGGGUUGUACGCUUGUUUUUGAAAGUUGGUAGCAUAGAGCGGCUUAUACCCAGAGAAAGAGAUAUAAAAUGGCAGCUGAGGAGCCAGGAACCUUCCUGAGGACCCCAUUAGGGAAACACAGGGGACACUGGAUGACUAACAUAUAGGAGUGUUCUCGCUGCCAUCUUGCAUUGUGGACCUCCCUGCUCAAGUGUUCUCCUUCACCAUGCGGAAUAGCAUCACCACUGCUCGUGGUCACCCAGCAACAGAAACUCUCCCACUGUCACCUUGUAGCACAUAGGUCCUUGCUUUUUGUGACAAUGGCUAUUAAAACUAAAAUGGCGAUAUGACUUCACAGGCAAAAGCUUUAAUUGGAAGUGAGGGAAGAUAAAGAACUCCAUCUUAAGCAGCUGGAAAGGGACACACUCUGAUGAAGAGGAUCAGAUUGGUUCGUGCAUAGGAGAAGGGUCCAGUUAAUAAGUGUUCUCUGACUAGUCACAGUGAUUAAUGGAAUUCCCUGUCUUCAGAGACAGAGCCUGAACAAACCAGAAGUUGCUCUUCCCAGUCUCCUUUGCAGCUUGGCAAAGACAAGAUUCCUGUAAUCAGAUGAACCCUCAGUUAAUACUUUGGAAAGAAAGUUCUUAACAACUUUUCAGCUUCCAUUGACAAG